GCGAUAAAGAAAAGAAAGAAAAGAAGAUCGAGGAAGAAGAGGAGGGAGAGAAGGAGCUUCGUCGGUCAUCAAUGGCAGACGGCGAAGGAGGCCCUGUCGGAGCGUGGUGACGAAGGCUAGGGAUGCAGCUAUCGUCGGCGAGAUCGUUGGUGCCGGGCGCAGCAGUAGGAGGCUUCGGCAGGCGUGGGAACGAGAAAGGCAGCUGCAACCUUCUUGUCGUCGUUCCUGGAGUUUCCAACGUCCAAUGGCGGCGGUUUUAGUCUUAAAAUGACCGGUGACUUAAGAGAUUUCUUUUAGAGGCAGCAACAUCGGCAAUGGUGAACGGAGGAGAAAGUUCCGGCGAAGUGAAGACAAUUUGGAUUUCUCACUUUUUUGGCCGUUGCCGUUAAGCUUCCGACGAUCGGAGGACAUAUUCAAACUCCCCUCGGCUCAAGCUUUCAAAUGGCACUAGUUUUUCAGCAAUCAGACUCCGUUUGAAAAUUGAUAGUCAAAACUGGUUGUGAUUUUCUUCAGACGAUCGGAGGCUUGAUCGAAGAAUCAUAUGCUAGAAUUAUCGUCUGCGUGUUAUUUUGAGUCCAUAGGCGCUCGGAUCAUUGAUCGGACUCUGGCGGCUGAAGGUGAGUCGGCUGAUUGAUCAAGUGUCUCGAUAAUCCAUCAUUUCAACUCGCUCCACCCGAGGGUUAGGAACAGAGCAAGGAGGUCGUCAGAACUGAUGAGGCAGUAGUAGAACUUGCCACUUGAUGGGUUGCAUCAUGACUGCGUAUGCACUGGUAUGAAUCUGAGAUUGGUAGUAAAAGAUUAAUUUAGGACUUGCUCUGGUCGAGUUCAACUCUCUGGGCUGUAUAAAGUGUGUUUGCCGGAGUAAAGGUCUCUGGUCGAGCGUUGCUCUCUGGGCGCCGGCCUUAUUGGAAAUCAAGUGAUCAUACUGAACUUAAGGACUCUGGUCGAGCUCCGCUCUCUGGGCGCCAGUCUUGUUGGAGUGAGAGAGCCGAAAGGCUAAGGCUGUUAGUAUAGAGGUUAGGGUUCUAAUGAAGUACUCGUUUCGUAGCAUAUAAAAUCUAUUUUAUAGAAGCAUGACAUGACACGUGUUUUUUCAUGACGUAAUAUUUUAUUUUAAUUAAAUAAAUAUUUUA